CAGCCGCCACGGGAAUACGUAGGGUGCGAGCGUUAAUCGGAAUUACUGGGCGUAAAGCGUGCGCAGGCGGUUUUGUAAGACAGAGGUGAAAUCCCCGGGCUCAACCUGGGAACUGCCUUUGUGACUGCAAGGCUAGAGUACGGCAGAGGGGGAUGGAAUUCCGCGUGUAGCAGUGAAAUGAGUAGAUAUGCGGAGGAACACCGAUGGCGAAGGCAAUCCCCUGGGCCUGUACUGACGCUCAUGCACGAAAGCGUGGGGAGCAAACAGGAUUAGAUACCCCCGUAGUCCCUGUCUCUUAUAA
rnacentral:rRNA from 1 species